GCCUGGCUGGCUCAGUGGUGGAGCACAGGACUCCUAAUCUGUGGGCUGUGAGUUCAAGACCCAUGUUGGGUA
rnacentral:tRNA from 1 species